ACGGAGGGUGCGAGCGUUAUUCGGAAUUACUGGGCGUAAAGCGCGUGCAGGCGGGGAGGCAAGUCUGAUGUGAAAGCCCUGGGCUUAAACCGGGAAGUGCAUUGGAAACUGUCUUUCUUUAGUACUGGAGAGGAAGGGGGAAUUCCCGGUGUAGAGGUUAAAUGCGUAGAGAUCGGGAGGAAUACCAGUGGCGAAGGCGCCCUUCUGGACGGUUACUGACGGUGAGCCGCGAGUGCGUGGUGAGCGAUGAG
rnacentral:rRNA from 1 species